AUUGUAUAAGUAAAAUGCAAUAUAAUGCAAUAUAAUAGAAAAAUAAUAUGUUUUAGUGAUGCAAUAAAUACAUAUUAAUACAAUAACUUUUGGUUACAUUUAUUGUGAUUCCUUUCAAGACAAACAUCUGCACGAAGACCGCGAGCUAUUCUGUUCAAAGAAUUAUAUAAAACGUAUUGUACUUAGAGUAUAUGUGUAAUACCUAGCAACUGUAAAUAGAUGUAAUUAUUCUUUUUGUAAAUUCAUGUUUCGCCACUUUUCAUGACGUAUAUUUUCCAUUAGAUGGAUACCGCGUUUACAAAACGACGAUUAGAUAAAAAUUGCUUUCUGUAUAUUGUCGAUAGAUGGUUUUCUAAUCCAUUUACUAAAUCACGAACGAAAAUUGAAAUUUAUGAAUUGUUAAAUUUAAUACGAAAAUUUCUGUGAUUCCUGUUCUUUUAUUCUUAGAUUUCUAUUUAAAAAAAUUUUAAAUAUAAAGAGUAAUUUUUGUGAAAUAAGAAGACGUAACCGCGAAUUUUAUCGUCUGCAUUGUAACGUAAAGUAUCUGAAAACCAUACAGAUCUGAUUCGGUUACGCUCCAAAUACUAUUUAUCACUACAUAAAGGAUUCGCUCUACCCGAAAAUAUCAUUGUAUUUUCAUCUAUCGCCAUGAAAUCGUUGAAAAUUGUCAGCUUACUUUGUUUUCUCACUUUAAUAAUAUUUAUGAAUGUAAAAGGUAAUAGAGGAAAAACAACUAUGCAGAGUGAUGCUAUGGAAAUUGGGGAUGUACCACGUGUAAAAAUAAAAGUAUUUCGAGGUUCAAA